ensembl:lncRNA
GGGGGGGGGGGGGUAGUGACAGUAGUGAUUUUGUUUAUUAUAAAUGUAAAAUUUUAUGCCAGUAGUAUAAACCUGCAGCAGGUUACCCUGCCAAUAAAGCACACACUGAAUUGAAUUGAAUCAAAGUGAAUCGAUUCAGCACGAGAGAACGUUAAGGAAAAAAAGUGGAAGAGAGAGAUUUACACACACACACACACACACACACACAGAGAGUUAGGGUGUAGAUCAUUCAAGAACGAAUCAUUCUUUUUGAAGGAGUCGCUUACAGUGAGUGAAUCAGUGUUACACACGAUCGACUCCCGAUCGACUCCCACAGCAACGAAUCGGUGGAUAGCCGUGAUGUGUGUUUUAAUGUUGUAUUUAUUUGUUCUUGUUUUUUAAACGUAUCUGAGCGAUGUUAGUCGUACUUGCGGUUGCAUAUUACAUGCAUGACUGGUUCGCUCUCUUCAUGUACAGCGACUCGACUGAUUCAGUUACUGUAUUAUAAAAUAACACUAACAGCCAAUAUCAACUACACAUAGCUUUUUUAUUUUAACACAAUGAUCGCCAUCCGCUUUUAAAACGAAUCGUUUAACUGGAUGAAGUUAAACGGCUAAAUGAGAGAGAGAGCGAGAGAGAAGGAGAAAGUGUGGUGGAGUGAAUACAGUACACAGACGGAGAGAGAAGGUUAGUGAGAGAGAAAUUCCACCCGUGUUGAAUAUACUGAGCCGGAUGACGCUGAAAGGGGCGGAGCCUGAUUGAAGCCCGAUUGGACUGACGAUACGUGUGUAUCAGAAGUCCGAUCUGUCGGUUUCUACCCGAGUCAACAGCUACGAGACUUCACCGAGACGUGAAGAACGGAUUUCCCCGACACGUGCAGCAGAGUGGUGACGGUACUGGGCGACUGAGGCGGAGGCAUUUUAAAACGUGUUUUAAGAAGCAAGACGAGCGAAAGUGUGAGACAGGAAGUGGUUCUUGGAUUAUCGUCGUGUUUCAGGAUUCACCCGUGUUUCAUUUUCUGCUUCUAGUCUCUUUACUUGGAACUGCAUCAUAAAAUUAGAAGUCCAUUCACCCCCCCCCCCCCCCCCCCCCCCCUAUUUUUCCCAAAACCAUGGGGUACCAUAGGGGUAAAAAAAAAAAAAAAAUUAAAACCUUGGCACUCAACUGUAUCCACUAGUGUGAGAGAGACUGCUAGAGAGAUACAGAACGAGAGAGAGACACACAGAAACACACACUGAGAGAGAGAGAAACGGACACAAAAAAGACACACACAGAAAAAGAGAGACACACACGGAGAGAGAGGCAGACACAGAAAAAGAGGGAAAGAGAGAGAGACAGGCACAGAAAGAAAGAGAGAGACAGACAGAAAAUAGAGAGACACACACACACAAAUGCACACCGAGAGAGAGAUAGGCAGACACAGAAAAAGAUGGAAAGAGAGAGAGACAGGCACUGAAAAAAAGACGCGCACAGAAAGAAAGAGAGAGACCGAGAAAGAGGGACAGUGAAAGAGGGAGACGGGUACAGAUAAAGAGAUGCCAAGAAAGAGAGACACAGAUGGAGAGAGGCACAUGGAAAAGAAGAGACACACAAAGAGAGAGACGAAUAGAGAGAACGAGACAGAAAGAGAGAGACACAUGCAGAGAGAGAGAGAGAGAGAGAGACUCUUCCCCUCUCAGCUCCUCCAUUCGUGGAUUUUUGCAUUCCAGCAGGGUGGUGAUGUCAUGAGAAUUGGCCCCGGGCAGACAGGCCUGCUUAUGUUCUCGUGUGUGUGUGUGUGUGUGUGUGUGUGUGUGUGUGUGUGUGUGUGUGUGUGCGAGUGUGUGUGUGCGUUCUCUUUAAGCAGCGCAGAGUGAAAGGUUACCGUAGUUCACUUCCACACUAACAUGCACACUUAGGUGAGAUGCACAGCGUUUUACGCCUGUGCAGAAACGUAUUUCUUUCUCUCUCUCUCUCUCUUUCUCUCUCUCUCUCUCUCUUUCUCUCUUUCUCUCUCUCUGUCUAAGUGGGUGGGCGCAUUUCUUUUCCUCCAGGGUUGAAAGAUGUAAGGCAGCCCCCGAGUCAUGUCCGAGUCAUCACAAUAUUUUCCGACUGUUUAUCAGACGGAAUAUUUACUGUGUUCCUAAAUCAGACUGUGAGUCGAGAACACACACACACACACACACACACACACACACACACACACACACACACACAGGAGCCCCCGAUUAGAAUCACUUCAGAUUAAUUUAUAAGUAAGAAUAAACGUGACCAAGGAACAUCUCUACACAUUUCCCCUUAUUAAAACCCCUUCUUUUCAUGAAUAUUCAUGAAUAUGUAAAUUAGAACCCUGCCCACAUGGCCUCCUGCCAUCCCUAAUAGCCUAGCAUUAGCAUUAAUCCACUAACUCUAGUAAACUAGUCUUGAUUUACAACCUCAGUGAUUUAUUAAACCUGUAGGAAUAUAUUUCGGCAACACCAUGGAAACCACUAUCAUUUCAUCGUGUGUGUGUGUGUGUGUGUGUGUGUGUAAAUGUUUCGGGAGGCCACGUCGUCCUCAUCUAAACGUGCACAUGACUGGUCGAAAGCUUGUUUCUUGUUAUCGACAUCAGUCGGAGCUCAUACGUAGCUCCGCCUUGGAAACUUUUGAUUCCUGCUAAUGGAAAUGUUCAUAUUUAAUGAGGAUCAGUUUAUUUGAUUAUUUUUUAGCUUUAUAAUAGACUGAUAUCGAUGACCAGUGUAAGAUCUUAAUGCUCAUAUGAUGAUAUUCAUACAUUCCUGAGUAUAAUGUGUGGAAUUAAACUUAGCUGUAAGACAUGUUACUUACACACACACACACACACACACACACACACACACACACACACACCCCGCGGCCAUGAGCCGGGUCUUCAUGGUGUGUUUUGCUACAUCGCAGUCAUUUUAUUUAAUAACACACUGAGUCAUCAGCAGUUCAGCCUCCACAUGCGGAAAAAAAAUAAUAAAACAUCGCACGACACGAGUCACGACACGAAUCGUUGAAAAAAACACCACAGAAAGAGUUUCGCAACGUUCCUUCCUCGCUGAACUCUCCGAACUUUCCCCAAAUUAUGUAUAAUGUAUUCCUGAUCCGCUGUCGCACCACGGCGCGGGGUUUAUAUUAAUGCGCUUUUAUCGAUACGUCAUCGUUUCUAUAGUAACGGCUCGUUCGCAGACCGGUACGGCGGACGCUUCAGAUAAACAGCUCAAAACGUGUUUGUGUAACGUUUACGGAAGGAGUCUCCAGUGUCAGCGCUGUGUAACACUCACAGUAACUUUAGCCUUUGUGACAUCUUCAGGACAGAGGAGUUUACGCUUCUUUGUGAAUCCUUUACGACGGUGUAUAGCUGCU